rnacentral:lncRNA from 10 species
CAAAGACAGUCAUCUUCAUGCCAAGGAGAGAGGCCUGGAACACAUCCUUUCUUCACAGCCCUCAGAAGGAGCUCACCCUGCUGACAUCUUGAUCUUUGACUUCCAGCCUCCAGAACUGCAAGACCAUGUAGUUGUGUUGUUUAACUCCUCAGUCCAUGGGUACUUUGUUACAGAAGCCACAGGAAGCUCAUACAUCCUCUCUUUUACUGAAGAACUUUCUCUGUUCCCCUAAGUGUCUCAACCAGAAGUGCACACAGUAAUGUUGAUGAAACAAAAGCUGAACUUGGAAUCUAUGCUGCAGAACUCAUGACUUCAUGGACACUGGAUGUGGCCUCUCCUGAGAGAUCCAUGAGCCCCUGGGUGUGUGCAGCAUUGCUACCAGAAAGCUUUCUUCUCAACUUGGAGACUGAACUUGAACAUGCACACAAAAGAAGGUAAUUUCAGAGAAAGAGAGAAGCAUAAAGAGUUGUUGGCAUAUGUGAUAGGAGAAGUUCAGCUCAGAUCAGGCCUGAGACGACCUAGGCAAUGCAUUCUACAUGAGGCAGACACCAAAGUUCUUCUGCUAGUGACUUCAGCCAACACAGCAUACUCUUCCUGGAAAUCAAAGACCACGUUAUAACCAGCAGUACAAGCUAAAGGGCAAAAUUUUCGAAGUGGAACUUCUCUAACAGAAAAAAACAACAACAACAGUGGAACAGUUGGAAAGAAGGAAGAAAACUGACAGUGACAGAAUGGCUAUGUUUCCAUUACGCAUAAUCUUGCAUUCACGCACACAUAAGAAUACAAAUGCA